GACGAACGCUGGCGGCGUGCUUAACACAUGCAAGUCGAACGAAGAGCGAUGGAAGCUUGCUUCUAUCAAUCUUAGUGGCGAACGGGUGAGUAACGCGUAAUCAACCUGCCCUUCAGAGGGGGACAACAGUUGGAAACGACUGCUAAUACCGCAUACGAUCUGACCUCGGCAUCGAGGAUAGAUGAAAGGUGGCCUCUAUUUAUAAGCUAUCACUGAAGGAGGGGAUUGCGUCUGAUUAGCUAGUUGGAGGGGUAACGGCCCACCAAGGCGAUGAUCAGUAGCCGGUCUGAGAGGAUGAACGGCCACAUUGGGACUGAGACACGGCCCAGACUCCUACGGGAGGCAGCAGUGGGGAAUCUUCCGCAAUGGACGAAAGUCUGACGGAGCAACGCCGCGUGAGUGAUGACGGCCUUCGGGUUGUAAAGCUCUGUUAAUCGGGACGAAAGGCCUUCUUGCGAAUAGUUAGAAGGAUUGACGGUACCGGAAUAGAAAGCCACGGCUAA
rnacentral:rRNA from 1 species